GUAGGUGGCGAACGUUAUCCGGAUUUACUGGGCGUAAAGCGUGCGCAGGCGGCUUUUCAAGUCGGGUGUAAAAUCUCCUGGCUCAACUGGGAGAGACCAUCCGAUACUGCUAGGCUGGAGUGCAACAGAGGAGAGUGGAAUUCCCGGUGUAAUGGUGGAAUGUGUAGAUAUCGGGAGGAACACCAGUGGCGAAAGCGGCUCUCUGGGUUGUUACUGACGCUGAAGCACGAAAGCGUGGGGAGCAAACAGGAUUAGAUACCCUGGUAGUCCACGCUGUAAACUAUGGACACUGGGUACAGGGAGUAUCGACCCUCUCUGUGCCGAAGCUAACGCGUUAAGUGUCCCGUCUGGGGACUACGGCCGCAAGGUUA
rnacentral:rRNA from 1 species